AAAUAAAAAGACAAACAGACAAAUAAUAGUACAAAAGACACAACAUAGAAAACUAAAGACUAAGCAACACGAAUCCCACCAAAAAACUGGGGGUGAUCUCAGGUGCUCCGGAAGGGUAGGCAGAUCCUGAUACACAUGUGGCACCCGUUGUAUUGCUUAUGUUAUUGCAAAUUCGGUAAAUAGUCUUAUUCGGUAGGUCAUAUUCGUGAAAAG
rnacentral:lncRNA from 1 species